CGGUCACCCAUCUCAUACCCGCUCGGUUAUCAAGAAGAAACGCAUUUGAAUUAUAUUUCGAUAAAGAACUCCGUUAACUUUAGUUAUUCAAGAUGAACUCAAAAGUAAUCCUGGUUUUUGCUCUCUUUGUCCUCGCUGCGUCGUUCUUGCCAGAGAGUGAAGGAUUCACAGCUGGAGGCGGAGGAAACAUUCCUCAUACACAGGGAAGACGAGCACUCGAACACCAACUGGCUGGAAGGGCUUUUUGUCAGACGGCCAGGGAGCACUGCAAGAAGGAGCUCAUUUACAAUGACAAGGAAUGAACCACGCAACAGAUGUGAUUUGGUACCCUGCCAAUUAUGGAGUUGGGCCUGUUGUUCUUUGUUUUUAAAAUCAUCAUUCUAUAUAGAAAGAAUGUACUAAAGUUAUUGACCAAAGUGAUAUGAAAAUCUUGUUAGCAGAGUCUGAGAAAGCCAAAAAUAAACUAUUUUGAGUGCA